CGAGAGUUUACGAAGGGGCACAGCUUCUUUAUGCCGCGUCCAAGGCGGGACUUGUAAUGGUUGGCCUCCAUACAUUCAGCACGCCCUCUGAAGUUGAGUUUUGCUUGAAUAAGGCAGAGUGCGCGGCUCUCAUCCUCGCGGAUAAAUAUACCCCUACAAGCUUCUACGAGAUGUUGCUUAAAAUUGCCCCUGAACUGGAGAAGUCGGCGCCAACAGAGUUGAAAA